ACAGUAGAAUGGAGGUUUGAUGACGUUAGUAUGGAGACAACAGUAGAAUGGAGGUUUGAUGACGUUAGUAUGGAGACAACAGUAGAAUGGAGGUUUGAUAACGUUAGUAUGGAGACAACAGUAGAAUGGAGGUUUGAUAACGUUAGUGUGG